rnacentral:tRNA from 1 species
GGUUCCAUCGUACAGCAGUUAGCACAUCUGCUUUACAUGCAGAAGGUCCUGGGUUUGUGCCCCAGUGAGGCCA